UUUGAAUGUUCAUAUGUAUACAUGUAUGUUAAUUCAGCUGAAAGGUUUAAAGACUGAAAUUGCAAUCUGAAAUUUGUAAUUUAUUAUGGAAGAGAACAAUUUGUUAUCAAACAAAUUUGAAUUAAAUGCUAAUUAUAAAAAGAUGUGCAUAGGCAGAUCCAGGGGGGGGGGGGACUCUUGGGGGCCAGGCCCCCUCUUUUGUGGGAAAGUUUUAGUUGAUUAGAUAGGGAAUCACUGAAGCAUGACUGGAACAGGCCCCCUCUUAGGUCAGUCAGCGGGCCCCCCUUAUGAAAAGUUCUGGAUCCGCCAUUGAUGUGGUAUGAUUGCCAAUGUGACAACUGUCCUCAAGAAUCCAAAAUGAGACAUUAACAACUAUAGGUUACCAUACAGCCUUCAACAAUGAGCAAAGCCCAUACUGCAUAGUCAGCUAAGGUAGCACUCCACAGUUAGAAAAUAAAAUUUAAAAAGAGCCCCAAAAUGUUUUGUCAUCUCCUAUUCCUGGAUUUCUAAUACAUUAACCUAACUGUUUGUGUUGUACAUGUGCAUAUGUAUGUAAUCAGUAUCUUCCAUAGAUUUGAUUUUCAAAAGUUAAAAGGGUUAAAAUUAAUUCCUUUUCUGUGUAUCCAUGGCAACAUUCUGCAUUAAUUUCCCAUAAAAUAUUGCAAAAAGGGGGGUGAACAUGUCACUUUUCUCCCCAAAAUUUGGAUCAAACUAGAAUUUCAGUACCUUUGAGUGAUACCUUUUCAGAACCUGUUUCCCCAAAUCUUCCUAAUGAUCAAAUAAAAAAUAGGUGUCUUUCGCCUCAUUUUUUCGUAAAAUCCAAUCACAAAGUUCGUGCGAUAAAAAGUUGAAAAAAAACCAUUGCAAUAAUUGCCGGACCAAUGUAUGGUAGGGACAUGCAAUUACAGACUGUCAUACAGAAAACAGCCUACAUUACAUACAUUGCAUAACCUUGAUGUUCAUUAAAACCCAUUAUAAAGGCUAUUUUAAUACUCAGCUAUCCAAAAAUGAAUUUUAUUGCACACUAGCUCUCAUAUUUGAAAAAUUCACAGGGGCCAAAAUGCGAAACUUCACACCUAACUGGAGUACUACCUUAAGGUGAAAUUUUUCCCCUCCUGCCUCAAUUUUUAUUAUAUUUUCUGUGUUCUACUAGCUGUUACGAUGAAAACUGUACCUUAGUUUUUAAAAUUGGUUCUGAGUGAGUAACAAAGAUUUUAUGAAGGUUAGCAGCUAGUUGAUGUUGCAAUGUGACAAAAAGUGAUUUAAAAAUAAAUGAUGGAUCAUAGUGAAAAACUGCAAGUUUGUCUCAAUUUUGGGGUAAAUUUCUAUAAUUUUCCCCUUUAUCUUAUUUAAAAUCAUAAAAUAACGUUAAAGGAGGACAAAUUGUACAAUUUUUAGGUAUUUCAAAGUACUUAUAGGUCAAUUUUGCUGUAAAUAGCAUACCUAACCUUGGUUUAGAAGCUCUCAAGCAGGGUAUUAAUUUCUUGCCAUACUGGCAUCAUUAAAUUUAAUUAAUGCCAAAUUAUAAUAUAAAAUCCUGCUAAAAUGUUUAUUUGACUUUUUCGCAUUCUGACAUAAAUAUAAAGCGAUACAUUCUGAGAAUAUCAUAUAAAGCGCAAUCUUUGGUUACAAGGGCAAAGCUAAUGGAGUACAAAUUAAAGACCGCAACAUGUUUAAGUGUCAAAAUGUGUAUAAUUUGGUUGCCAAGGAGAGUAAACAUUAAAAUAAUCAUAAAUUGCAUUCCUAGCAGAUUUUUAACCCUCAAAACUAAUACAAGAACAUAACAGACUAAAGAUUUGUGGUAUUUUUUACCUUAAAAAGUGCAUUUCUGUCCUUUUUGAUGUGCCGUAAGGUAGCACUCCACAGUUAGAAAAUAAAAUUAAAAAUGAGCCCAAAAUGUUUUAUCAUCUCCUAUUCCUGGAUUUCUAAUACAUUAACCUAACUGUUUGUGUUGUACAUGUGCAUAUGUAUGUAAUUGUGGUAGAGUGAAAUUUGGCAUAUUUUUGUAAAUGUAAAUUUGUAUAUACAUGUGUAUUGAUUAGAUUAUAUUGGAAUAAAAUGAUGGUCAUACUAUUGAUAUAUUAUCAGUUACAAAUUGAAUGGUAUUUAAUUUGUCUAGUCUGAUUACUGUUAAACUGACCAUUGUACCUGUUUGUCUUUGUUACCUUGAUUUCUAUAUUUAGAAUCUUAAUUAAGGCUAUAUAUUUCUUAUGGAUAGUGAUUUUGGUCACAUGUUCUUUUUGGAGGGAAAAUUCUAUUGUUCUGGUCACUCUUAUUUCAACUGUCAUACUGAGCAGAUAUAUUUCAGUUGUGGAGUUUGCAAAUGGUCUUAUAUGAAUUAUUGUAUAGUUAUUGCUGAAUCUUUUGGGAAUCCAUAUUACUACUUUACAGGUUAAUAUUUGAUGUACAUGUAGCCAAUACACAUAUGAAGUCUUGUGACCUUCAAACUAGCACUUGAGAUGAUGUUUUUGGGACAGAGGGGAACUUAUAAUAAUGGAGAGGACAGCUGUAAAUGAAACUUUUGAGGUAGCUAGAAGAUCACAUGUUGUAAUAAGAAGACAGUUCUCAGCUGAGAGUUUUGUGAUGUAGAGGUUUGAGUUUCUCUAAAUUUGACUAAAAGAUAUUGAUAAUGAGUUAGGUUAAAUUAGACAUUUAAAAAAGAAUAAUGUUUUAAGGGCUGAUGAUCCAUUUCCUUUAUUAUCUAAAUAUACAUGUUCACAGAAAUGAAGUCUGCAGAUGACUUAUUGCAGUUGGAACAACAUCCAGAAUCCUGUGAAGAGUGGACUCUCUUAGUUACUUUACUGCUAAAAAGUCCCUUAUUAAAAUAAAAUUGAUAAUGGAAAUGGGGAAUGUGCCAAAGAGACAACAACCCGACCAUAGAGCAGACAACAGCAUAAGUUCACCAACAGGUCUUUAAUGCAACGAGAAAUUCCCACACCCGUAGGCAUCCUUCAGCUGGCCCCGAAACAAAUAUAUACUAGUUCAGUGAUAAUGAAUGCCAUACUAAACUCCAAAUUGUACACAAGAAACUAAAAGUUAAAAUAACUAACAAAGGUCAGAGGCUCCUGACUUGGGACAGGCGCAAAAAUGUGGCAGGGUUAAACAUGUUUGUGAGAUCCCUCCCCCUAUACCUCUAGCCAAUGCAGAAAAGUAAACGCAUAACAAUAAGCACAUUAAAAUUCAGUUCAAGAGAAGUCCGAGUCUGAUUUCAGAAGAUGUAACCAAAGAAAAUAAACAAAAUGACAAUAAUACAUAAAUAACAUCAGACUGCUAGUAGUUAAGGCAGCAACCAUUUGAUUUUCGGGGGGGGCUAUGUUUUUUUUUUGUUUCAAACUGGUUCCUUUUCUCAUUUUGAUUUUGAUACAGAACAUAUAUAUUUUUCAUCAUGAUUAUAAUCAAGAUAAUUGGUAACUGAAAAAACAGUACAAUGAUGAUUUCAUACACUAAUAUAAAGGUGACCACAUGUACAGGUGACCACUGAAAUAUACAGAACAAAUGCUUAAGAUGGUAUCCAAGAGACUGUUAGAGAUAGUUGACCUCUUAAAUAAGAGUGGUGACCUUAAGGCAGGUUUGACUGAAAAUGAUUAUAUUUUUUCACAUCUAGAAUUUUGGUUAACAAUUAAUCAUGUAAAGAAUGACUUUCUUUCAACUUGAUCAUUAACAAUCCUUGUUUCAGAAUUAUCUUUUUAAGCAGCAACUGUUUUUUAAAGGAAUCAUAGCUACAUGCAUGAGAUGCAAAGAGUGGAAUAAUUAGCAAGGAGACAUGAAAUUCAUUUACAGGUAUAAUUGGGUUGCUGCUACACAUGGAAAGUUCACAAUGGGGAAAUUGAAGUCUCUUUUGUCAAAUUAUAGCUCUCAGCUGGUCCUUGCUGAUGGCUUCUAGGCGACGGCAAGAAUGAAGUACAGCGCCAUAUCUGUUGUAUCCUUCUUCUGGUUCAGUGGGUUAGUUGGGAUCAACUUUUUUUAGUUACCUUUUAAGAGAUCACCUACAUUGUGGAAUGUGAAAUUAAGGGAUAAUGCUUGAUUCUUUUUAUCCUUGAUUAGUGCCUGUAUGAAGUCUGCCUUAAAAGGGGCAGGGUUCCCAUAGCAAUGUCAACAUUUUUUUAUUUUAGUUCUUUUUUUAAUUUUUUAAUAGUUUUCUUAAUAAAACUUUUUACUGUUUUUUCCUUUUUUUCAGAUUUAUCAAACUUCUCCCUCUUCAACAUUAUUUCAUUAUUUAAUUAUUUAACUU